GCUACCAACGCUGUCAUAUAUUAAGAUUUUCUUCUCUCGGGUUUCACGGGCUUCAUUUCAUAGUACCCUAUAUUUGGUUCGCAAGAUAAACGCCUUGCUUCCCAAGAUAUCUCUAAUUAUAUUGUUUAUAUAUUCUCAAGCCAAAUCUUACAUCUUUCUUAUAAGACAUACAAAAUUCAAAGUGAUUUAUGGUGUUAAGUUUUCUCCAAACCAUCGUUUGUAUUAAUUGAUUUUGCUUGAAUCUUUCAAG